GCUCUACUCACACGUAGUAAGAUCACGGUAGCUGUCCAACAUAAGAAUUGCUCUUCAACACCCCUCCCUCCACUACAAUUGCUCUUUAGUACUUCUUUCCGAUCAUACUUCAUAAUAAAAGGCCUUGUUACAUUUAUUUUUUUUUUGGGUGUAAUUAUGUAAUUAAGCUUUUAAUUCUUAAUUAGUAUCUUUCUCCUGGCAAUAGUUUUGUUCUCAUUACACGAUUUUUUUUUUUUUCAUUUCAAUGU
rnacentral:misc_RNA from 1 species